rnacentral:rRNA from 1 species
AACGAACGCUGGCGGCAUGCCUAACACAUGCAAGUCGAACGAGACCUUCGGGUCUAGUGGCGCACGGGUGCGUAACGCGUGGGAAUCUGCCCUUGGGUUCGGAAUAACAGUUAGAAAUGACUGCUAAUACCGGAUAAUGUCUUCGGACCAAAGAUUUAUCGCCCAGGGAUGAGCCCGCGUAGGAUUAGCUAGUUGGUGAGGUAAAGGCUCACCAAGGCGACGAUCCUUAGCUGGUCUGAGAGGAUGAUCAGCCACACUGGGACUGAGACACGGCCCAGACUCCUACGGGAGGCAGCAGUGGGGAAUAUUGGACAAUGGGCGAAAGCCUGAUCCAGCAAUGCCGCGUGAGUGAUGAAGGCCUUAGGGUUGUAAAGCUCUUUUACCCGGGAUGAUAAUGACAGUACCGGGAGAAUAAGCCCCGGCUAACUCCGUGCCAGCAGCCGCGU